AUUGUGACCACCUGGAUGAUAAUCACUGAGCUAACAAGGUAAUUGGGGAGAAUAUAAGGAGAGGAAACAGGAAGCAAAGGCAGCUGAGGAAGGAGCUCAAGAGGAACUCAGAAGGAAGCUCAGAGGGUGAGCCUGGGCUGAAGAGUGAGGGCUACAGGGAAGUCUGUCCUUGCUAUAAGCCCAUGUUGCAUGUUCUGGUGAUGCAGGAGGGAAAUAAUGCACACCUUGUUGAAGGAUCAACAGCCUGGUGUGUGUUUAUGACUGCGGAACCACCUGAACUAGUGCCCUGUGAAACACUGUAACACUCCGUAACUAAGUAACCCAUCAAACAGAACAAAUGUGUAAUGCAAAUGAAGGACUAUAGCAGGAAGGUGCGAAUCCCUGCAUAUUUCAAAAAAAAAGAAAAGUUAAUGUCUGAGGA